CAUUGAGUGAGACAACUACAUUUGGGCAGAGGCAGGGUUUUACCAAGAACACUUUUAGUUCCUGUUUCCAAUUGAGCCUGCUCCCUGCCUGGGGCCUAGCCUGAUGUACAAGCCCAUUGGCUGGGAUUGCUUAAAUGUCCCACACAAAUAUAAACACCUCUACAGUGUUGGGAAGAUGAAAGGAAUAGCUUAUUGAUAUUGUAUAUGCUAACGUUUGGAUGUGGGACAGGAAAGACAGCACUGAACUGCUGGUAUGCAGUGCUGAAGCUGGGCUGCAUGAAGAGGUUUUCAUUUACUGAUGUUGGAUGUGUGCCCAGACUGCCAUAGUAGAAUUCAGGGAGAGACAUAGAAAGGAGGAGAACCACAGAAUGGUUUUCGUGAACAUCCACGUGGGGCAGAAGAAUAAAUACAUAUGAAGACUAUGUUUCCAGAAAUGAAAGGACUGGCCACUGGGGAACAAUUGGGAGCCCCCUCAAGUCCCACCCUGGUCCUCUUCAUUUGUACUUGAAGGUGUCUCCCUUGGAGUUAUGUGCAAGACGGAGCUGCUCAGCGUUUGCCUUUCACCCCAAGGACUCGAAAGAUCCUCGGAAACAAAGGAUUCCUCUGGGAAUCAUCCAUAAGCAUCAAAUGGAAAAUUUCCUUUCCCCCAGUACGCCUCCAUUCCACCUCCCCAUUCUGGAGACGUGAUUAUUGGCCAAAUCAGAUCAGGAACAGAAGCAGCAGGAGCUGAAAGAUGCUUGCCCUUCUGAGCGUCCCAGCUCUGGGUGUGAUAUUUAUGUGUGCAUGUGCAUAAAUAUAUAAUUAUAAAUAUAUAAUACAUAAACACCGUAAAAUACAAUUAAUCGGCUGAACCAAAAGCCCUUGCCACCGUGUCCGUUUUAAACUUUUCAGCUCCAGUGAUUUUUUUUUUUUUUUUUAAUAUACCAGCUUGACAAUAAAGGAGAAGGGAAAGGGGGGUGGGAAUGGGAA
rnacentral:lncRNA from 12 species